rnacentral:tRNA from 1 species
GCGGCAGUGCUGGAAUCGGCAGACAGGCACGUUUGAGGGGCGUGUGCGAGAGCGUAUGGGUUCAAGUCCCAUCUGCCGCACCA